UCCCCAUGGUCUGAUCCUCUGCCUACUCU
rnacentral:piRNA from 1 species